GGCGGCGUGCCUAACACAUGCAAGUCGAGCGGCAGCGCGGGGGCAACCCUGGCGGCGAGCGGCGGACGGGUGAGCAAUGCUUGGGAAUCUGCCUAUUAGUGGGGGACAACCCGGGGAAACUCGGGCUAAUACCGCAUACGCACUACGGUGGAAAGCUGGGGACCGCAAGGCCUGGCGCUAAUAGAUGAGCCCAAGUCGGAUUAGCUAGUUGGUGAGGUAAUGGCUCACCAAGGCGACGAUCCGUAGCUGGUCUGAGAGGACGACCAGCCACACCGGAACUGAGACACGGUCCGGACUCCUACGGGAGGCAGCAGUGGGGAAUAUUGGACAAUGGGCGAAAGCCUGAUCCAGCGACGCCGCGUGGGUGAAGAAGGCCUGCGGGUUGUAAAGCCCUUUCGGUGGGGAAGAAAAGCCUCGACCUAAUACGUCGGGGUCUUGACGUAACCCAUAGAAGAAGCACCGGCUAACUCUGUGCCAGCAGCCGCGGUAAUACAGAGGGUGCGAGCGUUAAUCGGAAUUACUGGGCGUAAAGCGCGCGUAGGCGGCUUUGCAAGUCGGGUGUGAAAUCCCCAGGCUUAACCUGGGAACUGCACUCGAGACUGCAUUGCUAGAGUAUGGGAGAGGGAAAGUG
rnacentral:rRNA from 1 species